CGAGGGAUUCCCGAGUGGCCAAAGGGGGCGGACUGUAAAUCCGUUAGCUGUGCUUUCGAUGGUUCGAAUCCAUCUCCCUCGACCA
rnacentral:tRNA from 7 species